AUUGAACGCUGGCGGCAGGCCUAACACAUGCAAGUCGAGCGGAUGAAGGGAGCUUGCUCCUGGAUUCAGCGGCGGACGGGUGAGUAAUGCCUAGGAAUCUGCCUGGUAGUGGGGGAUAACGUCCGGAAACGGGCGCUAAUACCGCAUACGUCCUGAGGUAGAAAGUGGGGGAUCUUCGGACCUCACGCUAUCAGAUGAGCCUAGGUCGGAUUAGCUAGUUGGUGGGGUAAAGGCCUACCAAGGCGACGAUCCGUAACUGGUCUGAGAGGAUGAUCAGUCACACUGGAACUGAGACACGGUCCAGACUCCUACGGGAGGCAGCAGUGGGGAAUAUUGGACAAUGGGCGAAAGCCUGAUCCAGCCAUGCCGCGUGUGUGAAGAAGGUCUUCGGAUUGUAAAGCACUUUAAGUUGGGAGGAAGGGCAGUAAGUUAAUACCUUGCUGUUUUGACGUUACCAACAGAAUAGGCACCGGCUAACUUCGUG
rnacentral:rRNA from 1 species